UCUCCUUUUUCUCUGCUCCGAAUUCAACUAUGAUAAGUUCCCACGGUAACUCUCCUUCAAUUCACCUUAUGAACUGUUGAUGCACUAGAUUUGAUCGAUCUAGGCUUGUGAUCUAAUUUCUAAUCUCUUUGAGAUAAUUCACCAAACACAUUGCAGGCAUAAAUAAACAAAGACAAAGAAACCAAAAUUUACGUGGUUCGGCACAAGAGGCCUACAUCCACGGGGAGGAGGAGCAAUCCACUAUAAAUCCAUCCCGAAAAAUAGGUACAAUAUGAGGUAUAAAAUACCUUUAUUCGAAACCAACAAGAAGGAAACAGAGUAUCGAAUAGAAGGCAACCAAGAUCCAAUCGGAUCUACCAAUCUCAGCCUCGGCAAUAGAUCAAGAUAAAAUAACACCUGAGGUGAAGAUACCUUUCUCAACCCUCAGCAAAAAAUCAAGAUGAAUACCUCCUUACCAACCGAAGCAGCACAGGGUAUCUGUGAAACCGAGAAGGAAGAAGACAGGUAGACCACCAACCGAAGACCAACAGAAGAAAGCCAGGAAGCAACCCGCACAAGAGCACAAGCGGGAGAACGGCCAGAGAAACAGGCCCGCACAAGAGCACAAGCAGGAGAAAUAGCCAGAGAACAAAUCCGCACA
rnacentral:lncRNA from 1 species